UACAGAGGGGGCAAGCGUUGUUCGGAAUUACUGGGCGUAAAGGGCGCGUAGGCGGCCUGUUAAGUCGAACGUGAAAUCCCCGGGCUCAACCCGGGAACUGCGUCCGAUACUGGCAGGCUUGAAUUCGGGAGAGGGAUGCGGAAUUCCAGGUGUAGCGGUGAAAUGCGUAGAUAUCUGGAGGAACACCGGUGGCGAAGGCGGCAUCCUGGACCGGUAUUGACGCUGAGGAGCGAAAGCCAGGGGAGCAAACGGG
rnacentral:rRNA from 1 species